GACGAACGCUGGCGGCGUGCUUAACACAUGCAAGUCGAACGGAAAGGCCUUUUCGGAGGUACUCGAGUGGCGAACGGGUGAGUAACACGUGGGUGAUCUGCCCUGCACUCUGGGAUAAGCCUGGGAAACUGGGUCUAAUACCGGAUAGGACCGCACUUUAGUGUGUGUGGUGGAAAGUUUUUUCGGUGUAGGAUGAGCCCGCGGCCUAUCAGCUUGUUGGUGGGGUAAUGGCCUACCAAGGCGGCGACGGGUAGCUGGACUGAGAGGUUGGUCGGCCACAUUGGGACUGAGAUACGGCCCAGACUCCUACGGGAGGCAGCAGUGGGGAAUAUUGCACAAUGGGCGCAAGCCUGAUGCAGCGACGCCGCGUGGGGGAUGACGGCCUUCGGGUUGUAAACUCCUUUCGCCAGGGACGAAGCGUUUUGUGACGGUACCUGGAGAAGAAGCACCGGCUAACUACGUG
rnacentral:rRNA from 1 species